CACGGGGGGAGCAAGCGUUGUUCGGAAUCACUGGGCGUAAAGGGCGUGUAGGCGGUUUGGUAAGUGGGAUGUGAAAUGCCUCGGCUCACCCGAGGACCGGCAUCCAAACUGCCAAGCUUGAGUAUGGGAGAGGAUGUGGGAAUUCCUGGUGUAGCGGUGAAAAUGCGUAGAUAUCAGGAGGAACAGCCGGUGGCGAAGGCGCACAUCUGGCCCAAUACUGACGCUGAGGCGACGAAAGCUAGGGGAGCAAACGGG
rnacentral:rRNA from 1 species